rnacentral:sRNA from 1 species
AGGCCAACAACUCUUAAAAAUCAAUUCUCUAUAGACCAUGUCAUCGACAUAACUCUUAGUCCGGGAGGUAACUCUAUUUUCUAAAGUCUUGCUUAUGAAAGAUUAUGUUCACAAUAUUUUGCGCCCAUGAUUAGCUCCUGGCAAAACUUUGCUAUUGCGAUCCGGUUUCUUUUUUUUCUUUGUUCUCACGUUUUAUGUUGAAGGAUUCAGACCAGUAGUUCUCAGAUGAGCCGCGCAGUGGUUUCCAGAUCAGUAAGUGUAAGUUAGGGCGGCGUGAUGUGUUGUUCAGUGGGCAGAAUAAAAGUAUCGCAUUAUGACAGCCGGCCACAGUGGCUCACAAUCCCAGCUACAGAUUUUGUUAAUUAAUGAAGUUCUCAAAGGAUCCAAUUACAAUGAUUCAUUCCCCUGGAGACAGGAACUCUUCUGAGCGAAUUGCUAAAAGACGGACUACACGAAGCUCCAAAUAUUGGCCCAAGAUUAUAUUCCUGCUGACCAGCGUCGCCUUCUUGUUGAGUAGUGGUUGCAUAGUAGCGCUGGGGAUUUUCCAUCUAGCCUCUGAAAACAGUCAAAGUGAAAACAAGGAAACACCAGCGCUAAAAGGCCGGAUCUAAGUAUGAGGAUUCCCCGGGGCAGGAUUUUUAUGGAGGCCUUAUCAAUUUCGAAUGUUUUAAUAAAGAUCUACUUAUAUCUAAAAGCACGCCAUAUUUUAGAAAGAAAGAAACAGAGUGCUUGUAAAAAAAAUAUAAUAAUAUAUUUUAGUGAAAGAAAAGAUCCUGGGUCGACGCACUGCCAUAAAUCCGGAGUUACAUUUAUGUAUUACAAGCAGGCUACAAGCGGACAUAUCU